AAUACUCGUCGCUUUGAGUUUUUAUUUGUAACUCUUGAUCAUUCGUCUUAUUCAAAAAUUUAUGAAAUUAUUAUUUAUUUUGUUUGUGAUUUGCUUUGUUAUCAAUAGUACUUUAAGUAUAACUUAUUCUUUUUUAUAUUUUUACUCAUUUUUCAAAUAAAACGAAUGAUCAAACGUUGUAAAGAAAAAGUCAAAGCGACAACUAAA
rnacentral:pre_miRNA from 1 species